GGGCGGGAGGGGGGUGGGGCAGCCUUAGCCACCCACGGCCUGGAGCCUGGGAGGACGAGGAGCGACGCCAGGCUACCCGCCUCGUCACAACUUGCCCAGACAAGACAUACUUUAUCUUGCACCCUGGAAGAAGGAGCCGGCCUGCCUCUCCCUGCUCGGCUGCUCCGAGAGCCCCGCCUCUGCGCCAGAAGCAAUCCCGGGAUCUGGGGGCCCCGGCGACGCCUCGUGGCUAGCAGCGCCCGGCUUUCGCCCAGGAGCGCGCAGCUGCGGUGCUGGGAACAGCGGUGAGCAACACACCUCUCUUAUUCCCGCUGAUCCCGCCAGCCCAGUGGAUGGAGCCCAGAAUCCACAAACCUGCCAGGAAAGAAAAAAAAAUUCCUGAUGGUUGGUCCAAGCAGGGCCUCCCUGGUGGAUUGAGGAGGAAUGCCUGGCUUUUCCUCAGCGCCUUGAUCUCCGAGGGAACCACUGGCAGCCUCCAGAAGACCCCCACGAUGAGAGGCCUGGGGUCCGCAGGUCACUGCUAGAACUGUUUAAAGAAUGCAGCAACAGCACGAGUCUGUAAGGUCCCUGAGCGCAUGCUGAACGCGCGUGGGCGGAUACGCCUAGUGCUCCAGGUCCGGGCUGGGCGCUGCCAUAGCAACGUCCUGGACGCCCAGAUCUUAGGCUGCCGCCGCCGCCGCAGCAGGGGUCUGGGCCUUCGGCGGGCUCACGAGGGGAGUGGCGGCGGCGGCCCCGAGGCGGCCCGGGCCGGUAGAGUACACUGCCCCGCCCCUGCAGCGCAAGCUUAGGCGGUGGACUGGCUUGCAAGCAUGCCCUUCCAGAAGCACGUCUAUUACCCUCUGGCCAACAGCCCCGAGGGGCCCGACGCCUCUUCCCCAGGCGCGGCCCCCAUGGCCUUUGUCCCCCCCAGAGCGGCCUCGGGCCCCCUGCCCUUCUUCCAGUUUCGGCCGAGACUGGAGAGCGUGGACUGGAGGCGGCUGAGCGCCAUCGACGUGGACAAGGUGGCCGGCGCUGUGGACGUCCUGACGCUGCAGGAGAACAUCAUGAAUAUCACCUUCUGCAAGCUGGAGGACGAGAAGUGCCCACACUGCCAGUCGGGGGUAGACCCUGUGCUGCUGAAGCUGAUUCGCCUGGCGCAGCUCACCAUUGAAUACCUAAUGCAUUCGCAGGAGUUCCUCACCUCGCAGCUAAACCUGGUGGAGGAGAGGCUGCGCCUGAGCCUGAUCGACUACGAGCAGAGUAAGCAGCUGCUCACCAAGCAGGCUGGCGAGAUCAAACUACUUAAGGACGAGUGUAAACGCAGGAAGAAGAUGCUGUCCACACAGCAGCUCAUGAUAGAGGCCAAAGCCAGCUAUUACCAGUGCCACUUCUGUGACAAGGCCUUCAUGAACCAAGCUUUCCUACAGAGCCACAUUCAGCGCCGCCACACCUCAGAGUCUCACCUUGAGUAUGAUACAAAGGCCCAGACUGACAGGCUCCAGAAGGAGGUUGACAUGUUGAAGGAACAGCUGCAGCUCACCAGGUCUCAACUGGAGUCUUCCCAGCAUGCCCAUGCAGUCCGGUUCUCUAAGGAAUAUGAAAUGCAGAAGUCGAAAGAAGAUGACUUCCUGAAGUUGUUUGAGAGGUGGAAAGAGGAGGAGCAGGAGAAGCUGCUCAAUGAAAUGGAAAAGGUCAAGGAGAUGUUCAUGAAGGAAUUUAAAGAACUAACUUCUAAGAAUUCGGCAUUAGAAUACCAAUUGUUAGAAAUACAGAAGUCCAAUAUGAAGUUCAAGUCCAACAUCGGCUCCUUAAGAGACGCUCAUGAGUGUAAGGAAGAUCAACUCCCGAGUCCCCAGGAGCUCCAGAACAUGCUUCAGCUCCUGGAAGGCCAGGCGAGCAAGUGGACAGAUCGAUUUCAAGUUCUUAGUGAGGAUCACGGCCAGGAGAAGGGAAAGCUCCUGUCACACAUAGAAACGCUCCGGAGCUCGAUGAUAGAGGAUCUCAGUGCAGAUAAUGUUUUCUACAAGCGGCGGGUGGAAGAGUUAGAUCAGAAGCUCAAGGAACAGAAUGAAGUGAUUCUCAGUCAGAAGCAGCAGAUUAGAGAAUUUGCCAGUAAACCAUACAGCAGUGUUGGUGAGCCGAAAGGGAAUCCUCCUCUAACCCGGCAAGCCCUGGACUCCAAGCCAGCUGGCCCUGCUGCAGCCAGGAAUGCCUCCACCACACAGUCUCUGGAUGGUGUGCCCAGCCUGACCAUGGUACAUGAGCAGGCAUUUCCUUCGCACGUACUGGAACCCAUAGAAGAGCUUUCGUCAGAGGAGGAAAAAGGACGAGAAAAUGACCAGAAAUCAAGUAAGAAGACACAUCUGAGGAAAACUUGGAAGGGCGACCUCUCCUCAAAGGGGCUGAGGACAAACUUGGAGAAGGAGCUGGGGAAGAAGCUGAAGAACCUUGGGAUUAAUGCAGAUAUGCAUGGCAUUUCCUGCGAGAUCUUGACCAAAUCACUGAAAGCCAUGCAGGGAGCCAGACGUGAUCUAGAAAAACAAAUUCCUGACAUUCAGCAAAUCCGAGAAUCCCUCGAGCAUCAGCUGACCUGUAAAAUGGAGGCGAAGGUGUCACUACCUUCAGAUAGGUACAAUGUCCCUCUCAUGACCACUUUGUCAGCUGACGACGUCCUCAAAGCCUCCCAGGUUCCCCCGCAAGGCAGACCAUUGAUCAGACAGAGGGCCGUGUUUACUGAUAAGGUGGCUGUCCCAAAAUUUAAGAAAAGUACCAAAGAAAAUCAUUUUCUCAGAAAGUUUUCAUCUACCAAGACGCCGCCCUUCAGCUCGGAGGAGGAGCUGGAUGAAGAGGACUUCAUCCCGGCAUACAUAUCUCCAGACUUAUUUACCCUUCAGCCCUCUAAGAGUAAUCUGAGCAACUUCGGGAAGAAUUCUGUCAAAAGUGACACCGACUGGACGGAGGGAAGCGAGAUGGAGGACUCGGAUGUUUCCCCGAAGCCCACAGGCACAUCUGUUAAGAUACAAACUGAAAAUGUUGAGAGCAUGGUUUUACACCAAGGAAGUGGGAAUAAACCAGUUACUGGAAUGAACAUUGCUGAGACACUUAUCAAAAAGGAAGACUUGCAAGAAUUAAAGAGAGAUCGAGAUGAUGAUGUCUGGGACAUAUCAUCCUUAGAGGAAGAGAAAUCCUUGGAGAAGAAGCUAGAACAGAGGGAACCCCCACCUGUGAAGAGAGAUCUAAAUUCCGCUCAAGUGCCAAGGGCCUGGGGCCCAGUGAACCCUCGGGAACUCAAGGAAGAAGGUUUAACCACAGGUCCCCUCCUCGCCUCCUGCUCCCUGCCCAGGACUUCAAGACAACGAAUCGAGCACCCUGAAAAGCAGCCUAGUGACUGUGACUGACUGGAGUGAUAUCAUGGAUGUGUAGCUACAACUCCAGUCAGAGAACCGCUCCGCAGCCAGCAUCGGCCGACAGCCUGUAGGAUUCCAGCGCUCCUCAGCAUUCCCACCGUACAAGGAAGCUCAUUCAGAGCAAGGGUGUCUUUGACGACACGUACCGCAGAAUUGAAAACUGUCAGCUGUGUAGAAGCAAGAUGUCCUUUAAAUCAUAAAAUGUGUUUUCCAACCUUAUGGCCCCUGCCCGAUACCAUCCAUCCCUUCCUCUUCUACCCUCCCUGUAUCCCGUCCAUCUGCUUUCUUCGCCAGCUGAGCUGAAGAACAACAAUCACUUUAGAAGUAUGUCUUCACAAUGCUGUUUCCACACUGGUCUGUGGUACUUACGAAAAAAAUAUUUCAAGUAUUAACAAGGUAUGGCAUUUAAAAUUUUUUUAAUUCCAUUUUUCAAAACAUGUUUUAAACCUUUCCAUUGAAUUCCUACAAACAAUGUGAUUUUUCUUUGUCCUUUUCAAUCAUUUGCUCUUGGGGAAAGUCACGCGGCACCCGGCACCCGGCACCCGUGUGAUUCAUCCCGGACGAUGUGCAGCCCUUGACGCAGGUGCCAGAUUCUGACAACUGAUAACAGCUCACGUCCUGGCCCCAUCACUCAAAGGUUCACGAUUUCUGCUUUAUACUCCUCUUUCCUUCCCUGCACUGCAGGAGGAGGAGGAGGAGAGGAGCCACCACCAAGGGCGCUGGGGUGUAAGUGAGUUGGGUCACACAAGCUGUGUAGGGAUGGUGAUGAGGGCUGCCUUUGUGGGCAGGUGGUUUGCAGGCCAGCCUCAGGAUCCCUGUCUUGAAAACUGGCCAGUGUCUCAGUGACCUCGUGAGUGCUCUGUGCAGAACUCAGGAGACACCAAGGAACUGAGAACGGCAGGCACCGCACAGCCCACCCUCCCCACUACUUCCUCAGCUGGCUUUGGAUUCAACCACAGUCAGGGCCCAGCUCACCUAAGGGUGUCAGACAACCCUUGUGGUCUCUGAUCCACAUAAAAGACAAUGACAGCUUGGCCUCGGUAGUCCUUUCUUGAGCCAGUGUCGUGAGCGGCGGUCCUGUCAGACAGGUCUAAGAAACUGGAAGGCGGCUCUACAUGGCAGGUAACAACGUGACUGUUUAACCGGGACACCUGAUGAGGAAUAGUCUCAAACUUGUCCUGUUCACAAGCCACCAUUGCCGACACACUUCUGCCUAACGUGUGGAUGGGACGAGGGAAGCUCUCAGCGUACCAAAGAUCAAAGUGACCGUCACCCCAACAUUUCCUGAGCCUUUGAACUAAGCGUCCAUGUGCUCUAUGGUUAUAAAAUAUGCAGAUCCUGUAAAUAACCUGUUUAUUUUCCUUAUAGAAAGGCACAACAGAAAAUGAUUAGCAUAUAGCUAUAAGAACAUUUACAUCCAUCCAAUCAACAGUCUUCAAAUUCAUAUUUAAAAAAAAACAAGCAGAAGCGGCAAUUACGGGAGGGAUCAUUG